rnacentral:ribozyme from 1 species
AUAAAAAUGUAUUAACUAAAGAAUGAAAUAAAUACAUAGAGAGAGAGAGAAAGGGGGAGAGAGAUACAUGUUUUUACAAUUUUUUUUCCUUUCUCCUCUUCUUUUUGAUAGUCUCUUCUUUCUGAUUCCUAAUU